AACGAACGCUGGCGGCAUGCCUAACACAUGCAAGUCGAACGAGACCUUCGGGUCUAGUGGCGCACGGGUGCGUAACGCGUGGGAACCUGCCUUGAGGUUCGGAAUAACUUCCCGAAAGGGAUGCUAAUACCGGAUGAUGUCUUCGGACCAAAGAUUUAUCGCCUUUAGAUGGGCCCGCGUUGGAUUAGCUAGUUGGUGGGGUAAAGGCCUACCAAGGCGACGAUCCAUAGCUGGUCUGAGAGGAUGAUCAGCCACACUGGGACUGAGACACGGACCAGACUCCUACGGGAGGCAGCAGUGGGGAAUAUUGGACAAUGGGCGAAAGCCUGAUCCAGCAAUGCCGCGUGAGUGAUGAAGGCCUUAGGGUUGUAAAGCUCUUUUACCAGGGAUGAUAAUGACAGUACCUGGAGAAUAAGCUCCGGCUAACUCCGUGCCAGCAGCCGCGGUAAUAC
rnacentral:rRNA from 1 species